UAGACCAAUGACCAAAAAUUG
rnacentral:piRNA from 1 species